AGAGCAAACGUGGUGGAUUUAUUUAAUAGGAUUUAAGUCUCUAUAUUAAUCUUGUUAUGCUCCGUUAUAAUAUUGCUCUCAGCAAAUUAUCUAUAUAGAAACUUAUAUAGCUUCGCGCUUCAUAGCAUUGUUCAACUUCGAGCAACAGGCAAUUUAAUAGGUCUUGCCAGGAUCCAAAGUCUCGAAUUCCCACUUCGUUAGCUUCACCACAGCUCUCACACAGCAAUUAGCCCUGCCCUCUAAAUGCCAAGUCGAAUAGCCAUCAUAACAAAGGCA